rnacentral:misc_RNA from 1 species
AACGCAACUUGCGCCAUGUAUAUGGCAUGUCUGUUUGAGUGCCGCGAUAAAAAUGUGUAAUGCGUAUUGACGGUUGUCUGUGCAUCUGUGCGGACUCUGUCUAAAUGCAGCCAGCAAUGUCGUGGACUGUGACAGUCCGAGUGCUAAGCAUUCUUGGUCUGAUCACAACUGCGGCCGAGGGUGGGCUAGUGGUGGAUGAUUGUGUGCAAACCGUGUCAUCACGCCAUCACGCCGUCACGCCGUCACGCCGUCACGCCGUCACGCCGUCACGCCGUCACUCCCUAUCCCCUCCCCUACUUACUAUUGGCCUCAAAUCAGGCAGGAUCACCCGCUGAACUUAA